rnacentral:rRNA from 1 species
GUUAUAUGGUCAAGUGAAGAAGCGCAUACGGUGGAUGCCUUGGCAGUCAGAGGCGAUGAAAGACGUGGUAGCCUGCGAAAAGCUUCGGGGAGUCGGCAAACAGACUUUGAUCCGGAGAUCUCUGAAUGGGGGAACCCACCUAGGAUAACCUAGGUAUCUUGUACUGAAUCCAUAGGUGCAAGAGGCGAACCAGGGGAACUGAAACAUCUAAGUACCCUGAGGAAAAGAAAUCAACCGAGAUUCCCUUAGUAGUGGCGAGCGAACGGGGAUUAGCCCUUAAGCUUCAUUGAUUUUAGCGGAACGCUCUGGAAAGUGCGGCCAUAGUGGGUGAUAGCCCCGUACGCGAAAGGAUCUUUGAAGUGAAAUCGAGUAGGACGGAGCACGAGAAACUUUGUCUGAACAUGGGGGGACCAUCCUCCAAGGCUAAAUACUACUGACUGACCGAUAGUGAACCAGUACCGUGAGGGAAAGGCGAAAAGAACCCCGGAGAGGGGAGUGAAAUAGAACCUGAAACCGUAUGCGUACAAGCAGUGGGAGCCUACUUGUUAGGUGACUGCGUACCUUUUGUAUAAUGGGUCAGCGACUUAUAUUCAGUGGCAAGCUUAACCGUAUAGGGUAGGCGUAGCGAAAGCGAGUCUUACGUUUAGUCGCUGGGUAUAGACCCGAAACCGGGCGAUCUAUCCAUGAGCAGGUUGAAGGUUAGGUAACACUGACUGGAGGACCGAACCCACUCCCGUUGAAAAGGUAGGGGAUGACUUGUGGAUCGGAGUGAAAGGCUAAUCAAGCUCGGAGAUAGCUGGUUCUCCUCGAAAGCUAUUUAGGUAGCGCCUCAUGUAUCACUCUGGGGGGUAGAGCACUGUUUCGGCUAGGGGGUCAUCCCGACUUACCAAACCGAUGCAAACUCCGAAUACCCAGAAGUGCCGAGCAUGGGAGACACACGGCGGGUGCUAACGUCCGUCGUGAAAAGGGAAACAACCCAGACCGCCAGCUAAGGUCCCAAAGUUGUGGUUAAGUGGUAAACGAUGUGGGAAGGCUUAGACAGCUAGGAGGUUGGCUUAGAAGCAGCCACCCUUUAAAGAAAGCGUAAUAGCUCACUAGUCGAGUCGGCCUGCGCGGAAGAUGUAACGGGGCUCAAACCACACACCGAAGCUGCGGGUGUCACGUAAGUGACGCGGUAGAGGAGCGUUCUGUAAGCCUGUGAAGGUGAGUUGAGAAGCUUGCUGGAGGUAUCAGAAGUGCGAAUGCUGACAUGAGUAACGACAAUGGGUGUGAAAAACACCCACGCCGAAAGACCAAGGGUUCCUGCGCAACGUUAAUCGACGCAGGGUUAGUCGGUUCCUAAGGCGAGGCUGAAAAGCGUAGUCGAUGGGAAACAGGUUAAUAUUCCUGUACUUCUGGUUACUGCGAUGGAGGGACGGAGAAGGCUAGGCCAGCUUGGCGUUGGUUGUCCAAGUUUAAGGUGGUAGGCUGAAAUCUUAGGUAAAUCCGGGGUUUCAAGGCCGAGAGCUGAUGACGAGUCGUCUUUUAGAUGACGAAGUGGUUGAUGCCAUGCUUCCAAGAAAAGCUUCUAAGCUUCAGGUAACCAGGAACCGUACCCCAAACCGACACAGGUGGUCGGGUAGAGAAUACCAAGGCGCUUGAGAGAACUCGGGUGAAGGAACUAGGCAAAAUGGCACCGUAACUUCGGGAGAAGGUGCGCCGGCUAGGGUGAAGGAUUUACUCCGUAAGCUCUGGCUGGUCGAAGAUACCAGGCCGCUGCGACUGUUUAUUAAAAACACAGCACUCUGCAAACACGAAAGUGGACGUAUAGGGUGUGACGCCUGCCCGGUGCCGGAAGGUUAAUUGAUGGGGUUAGCGCAAGCGAAGCUCUUGAUCGAAGCCCCGGUAAACGGCGGCCGUAACUAUAACGGUCCUAAGGUAGCGAAAUUCCUUGUCGGGUAAGUUCCGACCUGCACGAAUGGCGUAACGAUGGCGGCGCUGUCUCCACCCGAGACUCAGUGAAAUUGAAAUCGCUGUGAAGAUGCAGUGUAUCCGCGGCUAGACGGAAAGACCCCGUGAACCUUUACUGUAGCUUUGCACUGGACUUUGAGCCUGCUUGUGUAGGAUAGGUGGGAGGCUUUGAAGCGUGGACGCCAGUUCGCGUGGAGCCAUCCUUGAAAUACCACCCUGGCAUGCUUGAGGUUCUAACUCUGGUCCGUGAUCCGGAUCGAGGACAGUGUAUGGUGGGCAGUUUGACUGGGGCGGUCUCCUCCUAAAGAGUAACGGAGGAGUACGAAGGUGCGCUCAGACCGGUCGGAAAUCGGUCGCAGAGUAUAAAGGCAAAAGCGCGCUUGACUGCGAGACAGACACGUCGAGCAGGUACGAAAGUAGGUCUUAGUGAUCCGGUGGUUCUGUAUGGAAGGGCCAUCGCUCAACGGAUAAAAGGUACUCCGGGGAUAACAGGCUGAUACCGCCCAAGAGUUCAUAUCGACGGCGGUGUUUGGCACCUCGAUGUCGGCUCAUCACAUCCUGGGGCUGAAGCCGGUCCCAAGGGUAUGGCUGUUCGCCAUUUAAAGUGGUACGCGAGCUGGGUUUAGAACGUCGUGAGACAGUUCGGUCCCUAUCUGCCGUGGACGUUUGAGAUUUGAGAGGGGCUGCUCCUAGUACGAGAGGACCGGAGUGGACGAACCUCUGGUGUUCCGGUUGUCACGCCAGUGGCAUUGCCGGGUAGCUAUGUUCGGAAAAGAUAACCGCUGAAAGCAUCUAAGCGGGAAACUUGCCUCAAGAUGAGAUCUCACUGGGAACUUGAUUCCCUGAAGGGCCGUCGAAGACUACGACGUUGAUAGGCUGGGUGUGUAAGCGUUGUGAGGCGUUGAGCUAACCAGUACUAAUUGCCCGUGAGGCUUGACCAUAUAACACCCAAACA